CUUCGGAUGGCGGAAACCGGCGCACGGGUGAGUAACGCGUACGCAACCUACCCUUAACUGGGGGAUAGCCUUGGGAAACUGAGAUUAAUACCCCAUAGUUUUCGAUUGUGGCAUCGCGAUCGAAAUAAAGUUCCGAUGGUUAAGGAUGGGCGUGCGUCCUAUUAGUUAGUUGGUGAGGUAACGGCUCACCAAGACAAUGAUAGGUAGGGGGCGUGAGAGCGUGAUCCCCCACACGGGUACUGAGACACGGACCCG
rnacentral:rRNA from 1 species